CCAGAGAAUACUUCCUACUCUCUGUGCAUGCCUGAGCUCAGUAUUUAAAGGGAAGCAUCUCUUGGGAAGAUCCCCAACACUGGGAGAAGCUAACGUCUGUCUCUCUCAUCCCAGAGCUGUAAGUGCCUGGAGGAACCCAGAGGCCUCUCAGGAGAUCCUUUGGCAUCUUGAGUCAGCACCAUGACUUGUACCCUGUCACAGCAGAGAUCAGGAUGACCACGUAUAUGGAGAAGUAGCCUCCUCCUGACCUUGACGUACUGAUACAUUCAGCUGGGAAGGAGACACCGAGACAUUGGCAGAGUCAGUGAGCUCACUCCUUACCCAGACAUCAUAAGCAAGAGUAGCACAGAGGCCAUCUCUCUCUGUCUCUUGUCUCAGAGCAAUGGAGAGCAGGCGGCUGUUGGAAGUCCUGACUCUGUUGCAGAUUUCAGCCCAAGAAAUGCAGAGAAACUGCCCGAGCCUGGGGAAUGGCCCAUCAGCAGCUCUUCGUCAGCGCCCCUGCUCUGUGCUGGGAGGGUUACAGGGUGUUCUGCCAAAGUCCCAGCAGCUGGACCGAAACCCAGCCUGCACAGCCUCUGUGGACUUGUUCGAGGUCAGCAGGCACCCUGCUGGAUUUGCUGCCCACACAUCUGUGCUCCGUCCACUUCUGCUGAGAACUGAAAGGCGACCUGGGAUCGGAUAGGACUUGAAUCAUCCCAGAGAGAACAUCCAGCUGAUUAUCUCCUACUAUCUAGAUUUUUGAAAUUUCCCUAAUUCCUCACCUAAGCUUGAUGUUUCAGUGAUCUUCCAAAUGAAUGAGUCAAGCCCUACUCAUCCAAUAAUAUUUUUUUGAGGUAACCAGAAUCAAUUUCCAUUGCUCAUAGUCAAAAAAUCCAAAAUGAUGUGGUCUUUUCUGCUUCUGACCCUCUGUGGUCUCAGGACCAUGCUGGCAUGCGGAGAGGACACUGGCCACCAAAGGGCUCUUGGCCUGGGAAAUGCCUCUGGAGAAAGUGAUCAGCUGAGGCUGUGCCCCAUCUCUCUCUGUUCAGUGGCCUUUCACAGAGAAUUGUUGUGAUCUCCAGGACAGUGGUUUUUGGUGUUCACGGAGCACCUCUGGGGUUAUUUAGGGUGAGAGGCUGGGGAACUGAUUAAACCUCCAUAUCUCUCACUUAAUCUGAAUGGUUGCUCCUUUAUCUGUUUUAUGUAUUUUCUUCAUAAAAUUUUACUUGAAAAAUUGCAUUUGUUUAUUAAAAACAAAAUUUAAAACUCAU
rnacentral:lncRNA from 1 species